rnacentral:rRNA from 1 species
UACAGAGGUCUCAAGCGUUGUUCGGAUUCAUUGGGCGUAAAGGGCGCGUAGGCUGCGGGGCAAGUCGGGUGUGAAAUCUCAGAGCUCAACUCUGAAACUGCACUCGAUACUGCUUUGCUCGAGGACUGGAGAGGAGAUUGGAAUUCACGGUGUAGCAGUGAAAUUCGUAGAUAUUCGGAAGAACACCAGUGGCGAAGGCGGCUCACUGGCCCGGUACUGACGCUGAGGUGCGAAAGCGUGGGGAGCAAACAGG